rnacentral:rRNA from 1 species
CCCUAUUAUACCGGGGGGGUAAUGAAAGAUAGCUAGAGUAGUAAGAGUGAACGGGCUCGAAAUUCAAAGAAUUUGGCGGUAUUUUAGUCUAGUUGGAGGAACCUGUUUUAUAAACGAUAAACCACGUAAAAUCUUUCUUAUUCUUGUAGAGUUAGUAUACCUUCAUUAUUAGACAAUUUUAAGAGAUAUUGUUGAGAGCAGAAUUUCUGAGUAUAUUAGAUCACGGUGCUGCUUAUGAAUAAGUAGAAAUGGGUUACAAUAAAAUUUAUUUAAACGGAGUUUACAGUUAAAUUGUUAAUGAAGGUGGAUUCAAUUGUAACUUGGGGUUUAGUAGGGCCAGGUGGUAGGAGCUCUAGAUGUGU